GGAGCCNGCCAGUGAGGAAUAUUGGUCAAUGGGCGAAGCCUGAACCCAGCCAUCCCGCGUGAAGGGAGACGGCCCUACGGGUUGUAAACUUCUUUUCUGCAGGAAUAAAGCGGUCUACGUGUAGGCAUUUGCAGGUACUGCAGGAAUAAGCAUCGGCUAACUCCGUGCCAGCAGCCGCGGUAAUACGGAGGAUGCAAGCGUUAUCCGGAUUCAUUGGGUUUAAAGGGUACGUAGGCGGCCUAAUAAGUCAGUGGUGAAAAUCUGUCGCUUAACGAUAGAAGUGCCAAUGAUACUGUGAGGCUUGAGUACAGAUGAGGUAAGCGGAAUGUGUAGUGUAGCGGUGAAAUGCAUAGAUAUUACACAGAACUCCGAUUGCGAAGGCAGCUUACUAAGUUGAGACUGACGCUGAUGUACGAAAGCGUGGGGAUCGAACAGGAUUAGAUACCCUGGUAGUCCACGCCGUAAACGAUGCUCACUGGCUGGAUGCGAUAUAUAGUAUGCGGCUAAGCGAAAGCGGUAAGUGAGCCACCUGGGGAGUACGCCGGCAACGGUG
rnacentral:rRNA from 1 species